CCUACGGGUGGCAGCAGUGAGGAAUAUUGGUCAAUGGACGCAAGUCUGAACCAGCCAUGCCGCGUGCAGGAAGACGGCUCUAUGAGUUGUAAACUGCUUUUGUACGAGGGUAAACGCAGAUACGCGUAUCUGUCUGAAAGUAUCGUACGAAUAAGGAUCGGCUAACUCCGUGCCAGCAGCCGCGGUAAUACGGAGGAUGCAAGCGUUAUCCGGAUUUAUUGGGUUUAAAGGGUGCGUAGGCGGUCGGAUAAGUUAGGGGUGAAAUUCCGGGGCUCAACUUAGGAAUUGCCUUUGAUACUGUUCGGCUAGAGAGUAGUUGCGGUAGGCGGAAUGUAUGGUAGAGCGGUGAAAUGCUUAGAGAUCAUACAGAACAGCGAUUGCGAAGGCAGCUUACAGCUACUUCUGACGUUGAGGCACGAAAGCGUGGGGAGCAAACAGGAUUAGAUACCCCAGUAGUC
rnacentral:rRNA from 1 species